GCAAGUCGAACGAACAAAACUGAAGCUUGCUUCAGUUUUAGUGAGUGGCAAACGGGUGAGUAACACGUGGGAAUCUACCUAUCAGUACGGAAUAACAUUUGGAAACAGGUGCUAAUACCGUAUAUUCUCUACGGAGGAAAGAUUUAUCGCUGAUGGAUGAGCCCGCGUAAGAUUAGGUAGUUGGUAGGGUAAUGGCCUACCAAGCCGACGAUCUUUAGCUGGUCUGAGAGGAUGAUC
rnacentral:rRNA from 1 species